AAUAGAUACCCGGGUAGUCCACCCCGUAAACGUUGGGAACUAGUUGUGGGGUCCUUUCCACGGAUUCCGUGACGCAGCUAACGCAUUAAGUUCCCCGCCUGGGGAGUACGGCCGCAAGGCUAAAACUCAAAGGAAUUGACGGGGACCCGCACAAGCGGCGGAGCAUGCGGAUUAAUUCGAUGCAACGCGAAGAACCUUACCAAGGCUGACAGGUACACGGAGAACACCUAGAAAUAGGGGACUCUUUGGACACUCGUGAACAGGUGGUGCAUGGUUGUCGUCAGCUCGUGUCGUGAGAUGUUGGGUUAAGUCCCGCAACGAGCGCAACCCUCGUUCUAUGUUGCCAGCACGUAAUGGUGGGAACUCAUGGGACAUUGCCGGGGUCAACUCGGAGGAAGGUGGGGAUGACGUCAAAUCAUCAUGCCCCUUAUGUCUUGGGCUUCACGCAUGCUACAAUGGCCGGUACAAAGGGCUGCAAUACCGUGAGGUGGAGCGAAUCCCAAAAAGCCGGUCCCAGUUCGGAUUGAGGUCUGCAACUCGACCUCA
rnacentral:rRNA from 1 species